UCGGCGGCUCUGUUUGAAACACGGAACUGCUGUAGGGGGUGAAUGGGUCGGGUCGUGAUUAGCACAUUUCAACAGACUCAGGUGGCAGUCCUUGGUGAAGUUUGGCGCAGGGAUCAGAUAAAUUACACCGAGUCUGGUGGGUCUUGUUGUUUCACCACCUGUUGAUUUUUAUCGGGACUAAUCAUGUUGCCAUUGGGGACACUGCGUAAACGCAUCGAGCCAGUGGUCCUAUGUGCCCAAAUAGCGAGCGCGUUUUUCGACACCGGCUUGCAGAUGGUGGUAAAAGAGCAAUGCGCCAUUGCGACUGAUGCGCUUAAUCCAACCCCCACCGAGGACAGCCGGCAGAAAGCUAUGUCCAACUUUUACAUGAUAUAUAAUAUGCUAUCCAAGUUCGUUCCGAUCCUACCCGCCAUUAUCUUAGCCAAGGUAGGUGACCUGGGGUACCGGAAGAUCCCCAUCGUGAUCCCUCUGGUGGGUUACCUGGUCUCCAGAGUGGUCCUGCUCCUGGUCAUAGUGAUGGAUCUCCCGAUACAGGCUAUGUUCGGCGGGGUGGUGGUCCACGGACUCAGCGGCGGGUUCUGCUCCUACUGGGCCGGGGUCAUGGCCCUGGUGUCGCUCACCUCCACCGAGGAGGACCGCUCUCUCCACAUGAUGCAAAUGGAGCUGGUCUAUGGCAUAGCUGGACUCAUCGGUAGUUUGGUGUCUGGGCACCUCUUCCAGUUGUACAGUGUGGACUUUAAACAGGGGACAGUCUUAGUGAGCCUGAGUGUCUUCCUCUACUUUGUGUGUCUCGUCUACACAAUGUUUAUCUUUCUAAUGCCAACUGUCUCGCCAAGCGCACAGGAGCGCAACGAGACUAACGGUAUCGACAUGCAAUAUUCCAAGAAUAUUCUCAACAUUCUGCUUCUUUUUGCGGGUGGGAUUCUAUAUGACGUGGCGGUGGGAGGAGGAAUGGAGAUACUGGUGACCUUUGAGAUGAAGGAGCCACUGAACUGGAACGCCACCCAGGUAGGUUACGGUAACGCCGCCGGAUUCCUGGUCUUCCUGACGAGCUUCCUGGGUGUCAUGGUAAUGUCCAGAUGGGUGAGUGACGUCACCCUCAUCAUCAUUGGCAUGGUGUCCUUCGCUGCCGGGAUCUACUUCAUGGCCUUCGUCACGGCAACGUACAUGUUCUAUCUGGCACGAGCCCUCACACUGUUCGCCCUGAUUCCCAUGCCAACCAUCCGUGCCCUACUGUCUAAACAGGUCAACGGCUCGUCAUAUGGGAUCACCCUCAUCUCACUGCAGCUGUCCUUUAAGAUCGCCAGCCUGGCCUACACUCCCAUCUACACCAAGGUGUACCAGGCUACGCUGGACUGGUUCCCCGGGUUCGUCUUCACCCUGUCCAGCAUCUUCACCGUCCUCGCCACCAUACCUGUCAGCGUGGUGGGCUGCAGAGCUGGCCGGGCUGACGGUUAUGAAAGGAUCCUGGGGGACUGAGGGCGGUGAUGUCAUCGUGUCGCCACGUCAGGCUAUGAGUCGAUACUGGGGGGGUACUGUGAAUGUCCCUGUUUUAUAGGUUUCCCGAUUCUGACCGUUCUGCCUGCCCUGCCCGCUAUUCUGUACCUUGUAACACUGCCAUGGAUUCCUGACCUCUGCCUGCCCUGACUGCUGUUCUGUACCUUGUAACACUGCCAUGGAUUACUGACCUCUGCCUGCCCUUGACCUAUCGUUUGUCAACCCCUGUUUUUGUAAUAAACUUUUGUUACUUAGAACUGUCUGCAUCUGGGUCUGAUCAUAUAAACUGGCCACUAUCAGACCUCAUGUCUCAAGGAUUAAAAAUCCUUCAUUAACCGGUUUCCUCCCCUGAACUACACUGAUUGGAGUGGAUUUAAAAAGGGACAUCAAUAAGGGAUUAUAGCUUUCACCUGGAUUAAGAUGAUCAGUCCGUCAUGGAAAGAGCAGUUGUUCUUAAUGUUUUGUACACUCAGUGUGUGUCGCAAGUCAAAGUAAAAGUCUGGAAAGUUAAAACCUCAGAUUCAGGGACAUGCAAAACGUUCCUAUUUAUUCUAUGAGUUUUAUAUGAAGUCUGUUAUGGCUGGGUUUACUUUUGUAAAGAAUGUCUUCAGUGUGGUAAUUGGUACUCCCAUUAAAUCAAUAUGAAACCUUUGGGAGCCAUGCCAUUCUAAAGAGGUAUGUUCAACCUGUAAGAUUUAUGGGAAGGUAAUUAAAUUUACCUAGAUCUGCUUUCAUUUUUUUGAGGAAUGAGAUAAAGUUAUCUUUAUAUACAUUUGUUGUCACUUAUUAAGCAUUCUAAGUAUUUUAUAUUUUUUGUUGUAAACUUAAAGGUUUGCUGUAGAUUUUUCCUAUUGACAUUAAUUCCACGUUCAUUUUAAAUCCUGAGAUUUAAUACGGAUUUUGUUUUUAACAAGGGGGUCACUGAGUUUUCAGUAUUAGUCAGGUAUAUCAGGAGAUCGUCAGCAGAUAAGUUUAGUUUAUAUUCAUGUUUACCAAUACUGGUACCUGUUAUGUUUGGAACCUGUCUAAUUCUUACUGGAUGUGGUUCAAUUGCCAGUUCAAACAGGAGGGGGGAGGAGGGACGUCCCUGCUUUGUGCCCCUUUCUAAAGAAAUGUAAUCAGAUAAUGGCUGAGUUUUGUAUAUUUUAGCUUUAUGAUUUUUGUAUAAUAUUCGUUUGAAUAUUGGUGAGAUGAAUGUUUCCAAAGUUUUUAAUAUAAGAGUCCACACGGUCAAAAGCCUUUUCAGCAUCAACAGUCAAUUUUUUUUGAAUAUUGUAUAAUACUAAAACAUGUUAUUGUAUUUGUUUGUAUGCCUUUUUUAAUAAACCCUUAAUAUUUA